AGAAUGUUGGAUAUGCUGAUGAGAGAAAGGUGUGCUCUGCUACUGUUGGUGAAAUGUUCUAAGUGUGUCAAAACCAGAAGACAUUCCCUCACUGGCCUCAACUGUGGAUCUAAAACACGAAGAGGAUGGAAUCCAAGCAAGACGAGGAAGAAGUGGAAAUUCUUAGGCUGGAAAAUUCUUCAGCAUUCUGUCACAGACCCAUCAGCCUCCUGAUACGGAUUUGCACAGACACUGGAGUGAGCUUCAGGCCUGAAACUGGGCUCUUCAAUCUCCAG